rnacentral:rRNA from 1 species
UUUACACAUGCAAGUCGAACGGUAACAGGUCUUCGGAUGCUGACGAGUGGCGAACGGGUGAGUAAUACAUCGGAACGUGCCUAGUAGUGGGGGAUAACUACUCGAAAGAGUAGCUAAUACCGCAUGAGAUCUACGGAUGAAAGCAGGGGACCUUCGGGCCUUGUGCUACUAGAGCGGCUGAUGGCAGAUUAGGUAGUUGGUGGGGUAAAGGCUUACCAAGCCUGCGAUCUGUAGCUGGUCUGAGAGGACGACCAGCCACACUGGGACUGAGACACGGCCCAGACUCCUACGGGAGGCAGCAGUGGGGAAUUUUGGACAAUGGGCGAAAGCCUGAUCCAGCAAUGCCGCGUGCAGGAUGAAGGCCCUCGGGUUGUAAACUGCUUUUGUACGGAACGAAAAGCCUGGGGCUAAUAUCCCCCGGGUUCAU